rnacentral:rRNA from 1 species
AAUCAACGCUGGCGGCGUGCCUCAGACAUGCAAGUCGUACGAUUAAAGCUCUCUUCGGAGAGUGUAUAGAGUGGCGCACGGGUGAGUAACACGUAAGUAAUCUACCUUCGAGUGGGGAAUAACAGUCGGAAACGACUGCUAAUACCGCAUAAUGCAGCGGCACCUAAUGGUGACAGUUGUUAAAGCAUUUAUGUGCUUGAAGAGGAGCUUGCGGCAGAUUAGCUAGUUGGUAAGGUAAUGGCUUACCAAGGCAACGAUCUGUAGCCGACCUGAGAGGGUGGUCGGUCACACUGACACUGAAUAACGGGUCAGACUCCUACGGGAGGCAGCAGUCGGGAAUUUUGGGCAAUGGGCGAAAGCCUGACCCAGCAACGCCGCGUGAAGGAUGAAGUAUUUCGGUAUGUAAACUUU